CAGGACGAACGCUGGCGGCGUGCCUAACACAUGCAAGUCGAGCGGGGACAUACGACGGAUCGGAAGUUUCGGAUGGAAGAGAAGAUGUAUGUUCUAGCGGCGGACGGGUGAGUAACGCGUGAGCAACCUGUCCUUCACAGGGGGAUAACACAGCGAAAGUUGUACUAAUACCGCAUGAGACCACACUGGGACAUCCCAGAGGGGUCAAAGGAGCAAUCCGGUGAAGGGUGGGCUCGCGUCCGAUUAGAUAGUUGGUGAGGUAACGGCCCACCAAGUCGACGAUCGGUAGCCGACCUGAGAGGGUGAUCGGCCACAUUGGGACUGAGACACGGCCCAAACUCCUACGGGAGGCAGCAGUGGGGAAUAUUGGGCAAUGGGGGAAACCCUGACCCAGCAACGCCGCGUGAGGGAAGAAGGUUUUCGGAUCGUAAACCUCUGUCCUUGGUGAAGAGUAAGAGACGGUAGCCAAGGAGGAAGCCCCGGCUAACUACGUGCCAGCCGCCGC
rnacentral:rRNA from 1 species